rnacentral:snoRNA from 1 species
CCCCUCUCAAGAUGGCACCUGGAGAGUUUCCAGUACUCUACCAGUCUCUGCAAUGGGAGGGAGAAUCAAGCAGAGGCCUACCCAUUCCAUUCCUAGCUUGGCCAGUGGCUAGCGAGUGGAAAGCAAUCUGCUACAAAA